CGGACGGGUGAGUAACGCGUGGAUAACCUGCCUCACACUGGGGGAUAACAGUUAGAAAUGGCUGCUAAUACCGCAUAAGCGCACAGUACCGCAUGGUACGGUGUGAAAAACCCAGGUGGUGUGAGAUAGAUCCGCGUCUGAUUAGCCAGUUGGCGGGGUAACGGCCCACCAAAGCGACGAUCAGUAGCCGACCUGAGAGGGUGACCGGCCACAUUGGGACUGAGACACGGCCCAA
rnacentral:rRNA from 1 species